CUUGUGUGUCAGACUUGCACAGAUGAUUCAUGUACAAGCACCGUGCCACUAACAUGUUCCACAGAGACAAUGUGUAUAACUGCCGCCAUUGAAGCCUUUUCAUCUGGAACUCCUGGACAACAAAUCUUCAAGGCGUGUGCGUCGUCCUCCCUUUGUCCAGCCACAGGAUCUCAGAUAUUUUCAGUCAACUUGGGUGUUUCGAGUGCACUUGCAUCUACUACAUGCUGCAACACAGAUAACUGCAACUCAGCCACUCUAUCAUUCCCCACCACUCCAUCAGUCAACAGCCUCCAGUGUUAUUCAUGUGACCCUGCCACAUCACAAUGCACCACUUCAGUACAGUGUACGGGAACACAAGAUCGCUGCUUUCAAGCAAGUGUGACAAAUGGGGCCUCCACUUCUCCUGCCUUUGGUUGUGCAUCUACAAACAUGUGUGCAGCUGCUGGUAGCUUGGGGACACUACCGUUCAUGCAAAAUGUUGGCAGCAUUAGCAGUGGACCAACUUGUUGUGAGACAAAUCUAUGUAACACUCUCACAACAACUGCUGCCCCAACUACAACUGCUGCUCCAACUACAACUGCUUCUCCAACAACUGCUUCACCAACUUCAUCUGCUGCUGCAACUACAACGACAUCAUCACCAACUUCAACUGCUGCCCCAACUACAACUCC